rnacentral:rRNA from 1 species
UACGAAGGGGGCGAGCGUUGUUCGGAUUUACUGGGCGUAAAGGGCGCGCAGGCGGCUCAUUUUGUCAGGCGUGAAAGCCCCGGGCUUAACCUGGGAACUGCGUUUGAUACGGAUGGGCUAGAGUUCGGGAGAGGAGAGUGGAAUUCCCAGUGUAGAGGUGAAAUUCGUAGAUAUUGGGAAGAACACCGGUGGCGAAGGCGGCUCUCUGGACCGAUACUGACGCUGAGGCGCGAAAAGCGUGGGGGAGCAAACAGGG